GUCUACGGCCACACCACCCUGAACACGCCUGAUGUUGUCUAUCUCGGAAGCUAAGCAGGGUUGGGCCUGGUUAGUACUUGGAUGGGAGAAGAGGGUGUCAGAAGAGUUGAAGCCU
rnacentral:rRNA from 1 species